UUUUCAGGCAACAAGGGCAGAAGCUCAGAUAGGUUCUUUAACUUCACAACUUUUUUAAUGGUCCAAUUCGUUCGUAAAGUUUAUCAUCAUGGAUUAUAUAUAGGUUGAGAAA